rnacentral:lncRNA from 1 species
AGCUGGGAGGACUCACUCCGCAAAUGCCCAGUGACUGUGGGCAUUUGGCUCUCCAGGGCUGAAUGGCUGCAGCGACAGCAGAACCAGAAGAACUCUGCAGUUUCAAGACAUCUUUAUUCCCUGUACAUGGUGGCAGCAACAUGGACACGGUUCCAGAUCAGGACUCAGGUGCAAGAACUCGGCCAUGGCUGUUUCUUUCUUGUGUGAAAAACUGGAGCCCUCCACAUUUGCCCUCCGGACAGCUACACCAAAAGGGAGUUGACAGAAUGUGCUUGUGCUGUUAAAGAAAAGGCAUUUGUUAGCACCGAUACUCUCUGCUUCAGUCACACAUGUACAUCCCGUCUGAUGCUGAAAGGUGGGAAGGAAACUACGUCUGACGUUUAGAAACUGCCUGCCGUCCACCUUGCUACAGCCAGCUCUGCUGAGAGCAGCAACUGGGCUGCUGGAAGGUUGGUUGCAAAAUUCAACUGCGUAUUUUUUCUUUAAAUAACUGCCUAUACAACUGACUUACACUACA